GCUACCAAUGUCAAUGAGGUCCUCUGUAGGGUACUCAAUGUACUCUAAUGUAUGAGUUCUUCUUCGAGGUUUGUUUCAAGCUUGACUGCAAAGAACGAUUAUAAAAGUGAUAAGCAAUGGUAGGAUUUGGAAAGAAGCUGCAGAAGGCACGAGUCCCAACAUGGGAAGUGUAUUAUAUCUCUUACAAGAUGAUGAAGGAGAAGGUCAACGUUUUUGGCCAGGAGUUGAAGAGCGGCUCCAAAGUAGAACGCAAGCGAAUCCUCAAGGAGUUUA